GUCCCCUCGGGGACAUCCUAUAAAAUUGGAACGAUACAGAGAAGAUUAGCAUGGCCCCUGUGCAAGGAUGACACUGGUCCAAAUUUUUUUGACUUUUUUUUU